GACGAACGCUGGCGGCGUGCCUAAUACAUGCAAGUCGAGCGGACGAAUCGAAAGCUUGCUUUUGAUUCGUUAGCGGCGGACGGGUGAGUAACACGUGGGCAACCUGCCCUGUAGACGGGGAUAACACCGAGAAAUCGGUGCUAAUACCGGAUAACACGACAUGUCGCAUGACGUUUCGUUGAAAGACGGCUCAAGCUGUCGCUACAGGAUGGGCCCGCGGCGCAUUAGCUAGUUGGUGAGGUAACGGCUCACCAAGGCGACGAUGCGUAGCCGACCUGAGAGGGUGAUCGGCCACACUGGGACUGAGACACGGCCCAGACUCCUACGGGAGGCAGCAGUAGGGAAUCUUCCGCAAUGGACGAAAGUCUGACGGAGCAACGCCGCGUGAGCGAAGAAGGCCUUCGGGUCGUAAAGCUCUGUUGUUAGGGAAGAACAAGUAACGCAGUAACUGGCGUUACCGUGACGGUACCUAACGAGAAAGCCACGGCUAACUACGUG
rnacentral:rRNA from 1 species